rnacentral:rRNA from 1 species
UACGUAGGGGGCGAGCGUUGUCCGGAAUCAUUGGGCGUAAAGCGCGUGUAGGCGGUUCGGUAAGUCUGCUGUGAAAGUCCAGGGCUCAACCCUGGGAUGCCGGUGGAUACUGCCGAACUAGAGUGCGGAAGAGGCGAGUGGAAUUCCCGGUGUAGCGGUGAAAUGCGCAGAUAUCAGGAGGAACACCAAUGGCGAAGGCAGCUCGCUGGGACGUGACUGACGCUGAGACGCGAAAGCGUGGGGAGCAAACAGG